UAAACUAUCGGUCAUCACUAAUGACAAAAACGUAAACAAACCAACAAAACUACAAAUAAUGACGGAAAAAUGGAUUACAUUUGGUGGCUAUCGGUGACCUAGCCAAGCGCUCCCACCCAACCAUGGGUGCCCUCGAGAUGCUGCAGGGCACCACCCAUUCUCUGUCGGCAGGAGCCCCCUCCUCGCGACUACGACGGUUCCAUCUCCCCCACUGGGAAAGUUUACUCACACAUUGUGUAUAUUACAAAGGUUUAAUAAAUAUCCCUUUAAGACCGAAACCUGGCCGCCGUCUUCAACAUUUACGCGGUCAAAGCAGAGGAUUUUGUUUUGCUGGAAAAGGGUACACGCGUAACGGAAACUAUGCUCUACCAGUCAUGUAUUGGUAGAGCUCGCAUGGAAACGCGGCCCUCAAAGGAACAUACGCGAUGCGUAUGUGUAUGGUCACCUAAUCCUGAGGAGCUCCAAGGGAAAAGAAGGGACAGGCCGAAAAGGCAAACAACGAGGACAAAUAAGGCUCUCGGGACUAACUCCGGAUAAAUUCACAAACAGUUAACCACUAUUGGGCCGGGCCUGGAGGCAAUGAUAGCCCGGGCGGAAGACCUUUCGCCGGAGGCCAGCAGUGAUCCGGAUCUCCACACAGGACAAAGGCGCUCUCCGGUGAGUUAUGCAAUGGCAGUCCGAGAUUCGGCUGCCAGACAAAAUGGCGAUCCUUCUCAGCGCCGCAAUGCGACCGCUGGAAGUUCCCGAGAGGAGGAUGACGCGGUAUGCCGGAACGGACUCACCGGGAAAUGUUGACGUCGUCGUCGACUGUGAAGGCUCCUCUUGCUGGUCGCUGAUACGGGUCGAACGGACACCGUUUGCUGGGCAUCCAAGUCGGACUCGCAGGUAUGGCGAAGUAUGCGAUGUCGGUAAAACUCCAAAUAAAUCUUCCGGGGCCCUUUGUAUUGGGACCCCGGUUGCCUUCAUAAAUAAUAAAUAUUACACACUGAACUACUAUACUUUAA